rnacentral:rRNA from 1 species
GAUGAACGCUAGCGGCAGGCCUAACACAUGCAAGUCGAGGGAGAAGCCCUUUCGGGGGCAGAAACCGGCGCACGGGUGCGUAACGCGUAUGCAACCUACCUUUCACAGGGGGAUAGCCCGAAGAAAUUUGGAUUACUACCCCAUAAUAUUAUUGGAUGGCAUCAUUUGAUAAUUAAAACUGCGGUGGUGAAAGAUGGGCAUGCGUCCUACUAGCUAGUUGGAGUGGUAACGGCACCCCAAGGCUACGAUAGGUAGGGGUCCUGAGAGGGAGAUCCCCCACACUGGUACUGAGACAGGGACCAGACUCCUACGGGAGGCAGCAGUGAGUAAUAUUGGUCAAUGGUCGGAAGACUGAACCAGCCAUGCCGCGUGCAGGAAGAAUGCCUUAUGGGUUGUAAACUGCUUUUAUAGGGGAAGAAUAAGGUGUACGUGUACAUUGAUGACGGUACCAUAUGAAUAAGCAUCGGCUAACUCCGUG